rnacentral:rRNA from 1 species
GGAAUCAACGCUGGCGGCGUGCCUAACACAUGCAAGUCGAACGAGAAAGUGGAGCAAUCCAUGAGUAAAGUGGCGACCGGGUGAGUAACACGUGACUAACCUACCUUCGAGUGGGGGAUAACCUCGGGAAACCGGGCUAAUACCGCAUAACAUCCUUGGAGUGGAAACUCUGGGGAUCAAAGGAGCAAUUCGCUGGAAGAGGGGGUCGCGGCUGAUUAGCUAGUUGGCGGGGUAAUGGCCCACCAAGGCUUUGAU